GAUGAACGCUGGCGGCGUGCCUAACACAUGCAAGUCGAACGGAGAUUACGGACGGAAGUUUUCGGAUGGAAGACUGUAAUUCUUAGUGGCGGACGGGUGAGUAACGCGUGGGCAACCUGCACUAUACAGGGGGAUAGCAGCUGGAAACGGCUGGUAAGACCGCAUAAGUCGGCGAGACCGCAUGGUUUUGCCGGGAAAUGAGCAAUCAGGUAUAGGAUGGGCCCGCGUCCGAUUAGCCAGUUGGCAGGGUAAAAGCCUACCAAAGCAACGAUCGGUAGCCGGACUGAGAGGUCGGACGGCCACAUUGGGACUGAGACACGGCCCAAACUCCUACGGGAGGCAGCAGUGGGGGAUAUUGCACAAUGGAGGAAACUCUGAUGCAGCGACGCCGCGUGAGUGAAGAAGUAUUUCGGUAUGUAAAGCUCUAUCAGCAGGGAAGAUGAUGACGGUACCUGACUAAGAAGCCCCGGCUAACUACGUG
rnacentral:rRNA from 1 species